rnacentral:rRNA from 1 species
UACGUAGGGUGCGAGCGUUGUCCGGAAUUAUUGGGCGUAAAGGGCUCGUAGGCGGUUUGUCGCGUCGGGAGUGAAAUCCACUGGCUUAACUGGUGGCUUGCUUUCGAUACGGGCAGACUGGAGGUAUGCAGGGGAGAACGGAAUUCCUGGUGUAGCGGUGAAAAUGCGCAGAUAUCAGGAGGAACACCGAUGGCGAAGGCAGCUCGCUGGGCCGAUACUGACGCUGAGGAGCGAAAGCGUGGGGAGUGAACAGG